AUUGAACGCUGGCGGCAGGCCUAACACAUGCAAGUCGAGCGGAGCGGCGGACGGGUGAGUAAUGCCUAGGAAUCUGCCUGGUAGUUGGGGAUAACGUCCGGAAACGGGCGCUAAUACCGCAUACUAUCAGAUGAGCCUAGGUCGGAUUAGCGAGUGGGUGGGGUAAAGGCCUACCAAGGCGACGAUCCGUAACUGGCCUGAGAGGAUGAUCAGUCACACUGGAACUGAGACACGGUCCAGACUCCUACGGGAGGCAGCAGUGGGGAAUCUUGGACAAUGGGCGAAAGCCUGAUCGAGCCAUGCCGCGUGUGUGAAGAAGGUCUUCGGAUCGUAAAGCUCUUUAAGUUGGGAGGCGUUACCAACAGAGUAAGCAACGGCUAACUUCGUGCCAGCCGCCGCGGUAAUUC
rnacentral:rRNA from 1 species